CUUGGGGAAUCUGCCUAAGUAGUGGGGGAUAACUCGGGGAAACUCGAGCUAAUACCGCAUACGCCCUACGGGGGAAAGAUUUAAUCGCUAUUAGAUGAGCCCAAGUCAGAUUAGCUAGUUGGUAGGGUAAAUGGCCUACCAAGGCGACGAUCUGUAGCCGGUCUGAGAGGACGAACAGCCACACUGGGACUGAGACACGGCCCAG
rnacentral:rRNA from 1 species